rnacentral:pre_miRNA from 1 species
UUAAAUUAUUUCAAUUGCUUGCUCUAUAUCGUCACAUUGAGACUCUGAGUGGUAGUAAGGCAUCUAGAAAAUUGCCAUUCACAGUAUCAAUGGAAUGAUUGCGCAAUUAACAUAUGAAAUGAAAAGU